rnacentral:rRNA from 1 species
AUGCCUAGUGCAAUCUUAAUUAUGUGGUUACCAUCGUUGAUUCUUUUUAGGAAGCUCAAAGGAAGCAAGACUGCAACAAAAAUCUCUGAAUGCACUCCAAGCUUCUGUACGGCAUACGUCGUUUUGAAGGGCAAACUGUCAUUUGUGCACUCAGCUACAUCUGAUCCCUGCGAAAUACCCAAGACCAUAUCUUCUUCAACUGUUUCUUCAUUUAGCUCCAGAAGCCUUUCCAAUGCGCCCUCAGAGUGGGAUGACAGAAAUGGAACAACAGCUGUAUUAUUCCGCCAGUCAUCUCUAUCAUCGCAGCGUGAUCACGCACUCGCAAAUAUAAACAGGUCGGCCAAUAGGGGAGCUAGCCCUUCAGGCAGUGCUGGCCGCGAGAUCUCUUACCAUGUUGAUACAACCCUGAAGACAAAUUCACACUCAAUCGCAUCAGUAGCGCAGCUCAGUAACAGCAGCAGUGGGGAUUAA